UACAGAGGUCUCAAGCGUUGUUCGGAUUCAUUGGGCGUAAAGGGUGCGUAGGCGGCGCGGUAAGUCGGGUGUGAAAUCUCGGAGCUUAACUCCGAAACUGCAUUCGAUACUGCCGUGCUUGAGGACUGGAGAGGAGACUGGAAUUUACGGUGUAGCGGUGAAAUGCGUAGAUAUCAGGAGGAACACCCGUGGCGAAAGCGGCUCUCUGGGACGGUACUGACGCUGAGACGCGAAAGCGUGGGGAGCAAACAGG
rnacentral:rRNA from 1 species